AGACUCGCCCUUGGGUCCCUGUCUGACGAGCUCUAGGCAAUCUGCCCUCGUUCGGGACACAACCAUCGGUCUCACCCCUCAGUUUCUGCCAGAGAAAAAGGAAAAGUCACCGAGAGGCCUGACCCUGACGGGUGGGGGAGAUGCGCGUGCGGAGUAGCGGGAAGCGACUGAGGAGCGGGGAAUGGGCAGCAUUUGAAUGGAUGCGGGUGCCGCUGGCACCCGGGAAGACGCUGGGGGCCGGCGCUGUAGAGCCGGGCAUGGGCUGGGAUGUGUUUGGAUUCCAAUCCGGGCCUGACACCAGUUCAGUGACCUCGGGAAGUUCCCCAACCCUCCGGGCCUGUUUCCUCCCUCUGAAGUGGCGACAGUAGUAGAACCGACCUCGUAGGCUCAUCGGGAGGUCCUGAUGGGAGAACCCAUGCAACUUGCCACCAUAGAGCCAGGCCCGCGGCGGUUGGCGCCUGGUGGGUAUUAAAGACGAGUCGGGAAAGAAGAGCAGGUUGAUAGACUGGAUGCUGCUAUGGUAAUCUGCCUCAGGAAAAUGCCGGACUGUUGUUUGCAAGCUGGUUAAGUGAGCAAAUCUUGGGAAGAUUUCAAGGUAAGAGUUGUAACUUCGGAAGUUAGUGAUGCAAUAAGAAAUGCAAAUGCAAACUUCAAAAAUUAUGAUAUAGGUACUCUUUAAGCUGAGUAAGUUGCUCUAUUGCGUUAUCUGAAAAAAGAAAGAUGAAAUUACAGUGUGUUCUCUGGAAUUCACCUACUUAACUUACAUUCUUUCAGUUACUUCACCAUUUCUGUGAUGUAGUAGAUAGGAAGGUGCUAUUUUGCCCAUUUUAGUAACAAUAAACAAUACAGGAAAGGAUUCUUCUUUUAAUUGACACAUUGUAAUUGUACAUAUUCUAGGUUACAGUUUUGGUGUUUCCAUACAUACAAAUGUUGUAUACUGAUCAAAUCAGGGUACUUAGCAUAUCUCUCACCUCAUGCUAUUUUGUAAUAUACAAUACCUUAUUGUUAACAGCAACCCUACUGUGCAAUAAAACACCAGAACUUAUUCUUCCAAUCUAAUUGUCACUUUGUACCUGUUGACCAACCUCUCCCUAUCCUCCUUUCCUCUCUCCCCUUUCUAGUCUCAGAUAACCACUGUUCUCUCUGCUUCUAAGAUAUAAACUCUUUCUUUAAAAAAAA
rnacentral:lncRNA from 1 species